rnacentral:lncRNA from 1 species
AAAUAUUUCUGGCCCUCUCCCAAGCCCGGCCAAAAAUAAGCCGAGCUCGGGCUAGGUCUAUCCCGUGGUGGGCCCAGUUGUUGGCAGCCAUAAUAAUAUCAAUAGUAAUUACAUUUUAAUAUGUUAAAUCAAAUCAAAAUUUAAUGAACAAUAAUUAAGAGGCCAAUUUGAAUGUAAAAGAAAAUGAGAGAGAAAUGCUUAUUUGGGCAUCUUCAUCAGUCAUAAAGCCAUUUCUGAGCAUAAGAUCAGUGAUGUAUAUACAAAGGCUUAUAUUCCUCUCCCCAAACAUACGAGUGGCAUGGGUUAAGCUCAACCCACCAGAACUAUGCCCAACCAUAGUUAGCAAGUUAGGGAAUAAUAAUAUAUGGGCAAGCUAAAACAUCGGUAAUGAAUCGGUUUUGUUUCAAAAAGUCGGUGGAAAAAAUUCGGGUAAAAGAUAGGGGUCGCCUAAAAAUGAGGUAAGUUAUAAAGUCAUGAAUAAUUUAGAUUUGUCUCAAAAAAAUGGAGUGAAAAAAUUAGAUAUGUAAAGAUGACAUAAUAUAGGAUUAUGAUUUGUCGUUAUUGUAUAGAUACAUUAAUGUCAUUUAACAACAAUUUUAUGACCUUACCUAGUGUUGUUAGAGUGAUACUUAGACAAUUUAUUGUCUAAACUUCCAAUAAGUCGAACAAUAAUGCUUAUUCUGUUGUCACAACACGAAACAUAUCACAUAUUUAUUUGGAGUAUAAAAUGAAAUAUAAAUAAUACUUAAAACAAGAACUACAUUAAUAGAUAACAAGAACUGUAAACUAAGAGAUAGGCUUAUUGUUUGAAAAAAAAAAACAUAAAAAGGACCCUCA